rnacentral:lncRNA from 1 species
AGGAAAGGUGACAUGAUCUUUUAGAUCGGUGAUGGAACAAAGGUUGUUGCAGAAACCAUUUGCAUUUACCCUCUUCAAUUACCAUCUGGUGUUAGAUUAGAUUUGAAAGACUGUUAUUAUGUUCCUAUAGCUAGUCGGAAUUGGUUUUCGUGUCUGUGCUAGCACAAGAAGGUUUUGAAAUUAGUUUCAAUAAAGACUUUUGUUUUAUUUAUUUACAAAAUAA